AUAGAUUCCCCUCAUUCGCCCUGUUUGGAUCAGAACUCAGAGAGAAAAGAUGCAUCAAACGCACGAUGAAAUCCACAGAAACAUCAUGGUGUGAAGGGUAAAAGUGGACUCUGAGAUUCUGCUGUUUUCUUAAAAAGUCCACUGACAUGAAGCAUGAGAUUGUCAUGGUUCGCUCGGUGCAGGUGUGCAACUGCAGAGAGAGAAAGAGAGUGUUAUUCAUCCCCAGGGGGCACUGUUAGCCCUCCACUUCAACAUCAACAACCUGCUCCAUGUGGCCCCCAAACACACACACACACACACACACAGCUGCAGAAGGUGCUGGUGACAGACAUUAAUUUGGUGCUUCAUAUCAUGACACAAAAGACAUCUUCCAUCAAGAGUCCACACGCCCUUCUGCUCAUCUGAGAAUCCAGAGCACAGGUGUCUGUUCACUGCCUACAGAAACAUCCCACGCGCAACCAGCACUUAUGAGUGGAGAAACUUACCUCCGUAAUCCAAACUCGACAUCAAACCUGCCGUCACACG